rnacentral:rRNA from 1 species
UACGAAGGGGGCUAGCGUUGCUCGGAAUUACUGGGCGUAAAGCGCACGUAGGCGGCUUUCUAAGUCGGGGGUGAAAUCCUGGAGCUCAACUCCAGAACUGCCUUCGAUACUGGAGAGCUUGAGUCCGGGAGAGGUGAGUGGAACUGCGAGUGUAGAGGUGAAAUUCGUAGAAUAUUCGCAAGAACACCAGUGGCGAAGGCGGCUCACUGGCCCGGUACUGACGCUGAGGUGACGAAAGCGUGGGGAGCAAACAGG